rnacentral:rRNA from 1 species
UACGUAGGGGGCAAGCGUUGUCCGGAAUCAUUGGGCGUAAAGCGCGUGUAGGCGGUUCGGUAAGUCUGCUGUGAAAUCCCCGGGCUCAACCCGGGAACUGCGUCCGAUACUGGCAGGCUUGAAUUCGGGAGAGGGAUGCGGAAUUCCAGGUGUAGCGGUGAAAUGCGUAGAUAUCUGGAGAAACACCGGUGGCGAAGGCGGCAUCCUGGACCGAGAUUGACGCUGAGGCGCGAAAGCCAGGGGAGCAAACGGG